rnacentral:rRNA from 1 species
CGGACGGGUGAGUAACGCGUGAGUAACCUGCCUUUCAGAGGGGGAUAACGUUCUGAAAAGAACGCUAAUACCGCAUAACAUCAAUUUUAUCGCAUGAUAGGUUGAUCAAAGGAGCAAUCCGCUGGAAGAUGGACUCGCGUCCGAUUAGCCAGUUGGCGGGGUAACGGCCCACCAAAGCGACGAUCGGUAGCCGGACUGAGAGGUUGAACGGCCACAUUGGGACUGAGACACGGCCCAGACUCCUACGGGAGGCAGCAUG